UACGUAGGUGGCAAGCGUUGUCCGGAUUUAUUGGGUUUAAAGGGUGCGUAGGCGGCCUUAUAAGUCAGUGCUGAAAUAUCCCGGCUUAACCGGGAGGGUGGCAUUGAUACUGUAGGGCUUGAGUAAAGUUGAGGUUGGCGGAAUUGACGGUGUAGCGGUGAAAUGCUUAGAUAUCGUCAAGAACACCGAUAGUGUAGACAGCUAACUAAGCUUUAACUGACGCUGAGGCACGAAAGCUAGGGGAUCAAACAGGAUUAGAUACCCCCGUAGUCC
rnacentral:rRNA from 1 species